UACGUAGGGCGCAAGCGUUAUCCGGAAUUAUUGGGCGUAAAGAGCUCGUAGGCGGUUUGUCGCGUCUGCCGUGAAAGUCCGGGGCUCAACUCCGGAUCUGCGGUGGGUACGGGCAGACUAGAGUGAUGUAGGGGGGACUGGAAUUCCUGGUGUAGCGGUGAAAUGCGCAGAUAUCAGGAGGAACACCGAUGGCGAAGGCAGGUCUCUGGGCUGUAACUGACGCUGAGGAGCGAAAGCAUGGGGAGCGAACAGG
rnacentral:rRNA from 1 species